GUCGAGAAUAAUUCACAAUGGGGGAAACCCUGAUGGUGCAACGCCGCGUGGAGGAUGAAGGUCUUCGGAUUGUAAGCUCCUGUCAUCUGGGAGUAAGACCUGACGGAGAAUAGCCGGCAGGGUUGAUAGUACCAGAAGAGGAAGGGACGGCUAACUUCGUGCCAGCAGCCGCGGUAAUACGAAGGUCCCAAGCGUUGUUCGUAAUCACUGGGCGUAAAGGGAGCGUAGGCGGCGUGGUAAGUCAGAUGUGAAAUCCCGGGGCUCAACCCCGGAACUGCAUCCGAUACUGCCAUGCUUGAGGGUUGGAGAGGUAGCUGGAAUUCUCGGUGUAGCAGUGAAAUGCGUGGAUAUCGAGAGGAACACUCGUGGCGAAGGCGAGCUACUGGACAACAUCUGACGCUGAGGCUCGAAGGCCAGGGGAGCAAAAGGGAUUAGAAACCCCUGUAGUCC
rnacentral:rRNA from 1 species